rnacentral:tRNA from 1 species
GUCGACGGCUGGGAGACGCGGCGGCACGCCGGAGCCGACGGUGACUGGGCCGUCGUGCGGCUCGGCGCCGCGGGUCGCAUCCACGCCAUCGACG